rnacentral:rRNA from 1 species
CUAAGAAUAUUCCGCAAUGGGCGAAAGCCUGACGGAGCGACGCCGCGUGGAGGAUGAAGGCCUUCGGGUUGUAAACUCCUUUUCUCAGGGAAGAAUAAGGUCUGGAGUAACUGCCAGGCCGAUGACGGUACCUGAGGAAUAAGCCCCGGCUAAUUACGUGCCAGCAGCCGCGGUAAUACGUAUGGGGCAAGCGUUGUUCGGAUUCACUGGGCGUAAAGGGCGUGUAGGCGGUGCGGUAAGUCGGAUGUGAAAUCUCCACGGCUCAACCUGGAAACUGCAUUCGAAACUGCCGUGCUAGAGUACUGGAGAGGGAGACGGAAUUCCUGGUGUAGGGGUGAAAUCUGUAGAUAUCAGGAAGAACACCGGUGGCGAAGGCGGUCUCCUGGCCAGAUACUGACGCUGAGGCGCGAAAGCUAGGGGAGCAAACA